CAUCAACCAUGUUUUUUGUAGCUCUGCUGCUGCUGUUGGCAGCUGGAUGUGUGAAGUGUGAACAGUUGACACAGCCAGCCUCUGUGACUGUGCAGCCAGGUCAACGUCUGACCAUCACCUGUCAAGUCUCUUAUUCUGUUAGCAGCUAUCGCACUCACUGGAUCAGAGAGCCUGCAGGGAAAGGACUGGAGUGGAUUGGAAGUGCACGUGUGGGAUACAGCACAUUCUACAAAGAUUCACUGAAGAACAAGUUCAGUAUCAGCUCAGACACUUCCAGCAACAGAGUGACUCUAAAUGGACAGAAUGUGCAGUCUGAAGACACUGCUGUGUAUUACUGUGCCAGAGAGCCACAAUAACACAAACCAUCAGUAGACCUGAACAAAAACCCCUCAGUGCCUGAACACUUGUAACAUGAAGCCACCAGAGGAGGAGCCCUCAGACCACUAAUGAUCUCAGCACCAUCACAAUGUAACUGUAAAGAGAGGAAGAGAUAUACAUUGUACUGAAAAGUGAAAUUAAUAUGACAUUCUUCAUUAUGAGACCUAAACAUCAAACAUCAUAACAUCAAACAUCGCAGACAUUUUCCAAAAGUUCUCUGUCUGACUCUCAAUAUUUCUGUAAAUUGCUGACAGCAUUAUUUCAGCUCACAACAUCGUUAUUCAAAGUUCUCCAUCUUCUUUAUUUUCAUUCACAUUGGUGUUUUCAUCCAGAAAUUGGUUUGACUAUUGAACACAGUUUUUUAAUUAAGAAAAUGAACAGUACGGAGAACAGAAAUGAGAAAAAUCUGUCAUCGUCUUUCACAUAAAGCCUGUGUCAUGUUGAAUGUAUAAUCAUAAAUAGUAAUAUACAACAAAGAGGAGUGACUUAUUUCAACACUACAGUUAAUAUUUGAAUA